CGUAUCUGAUGCGACGACAGAGAGAGAGAGCGAAAAGAAACAUUAAGGAUCAAGAGGUAAAUGGCAGCAACCGUCGAGAUGCGUCGCCAUCCGUCACUCUUCUGUGCUUGGAUUUGGAUCACAAUCAAACGCACGAGACUUUCACAAAAAUCCAGUGCAUAAGUACGACCCGGUCACGACGAUCACACAUCACAACGUGUCUCAUCUCAUCUUCUUCGUCGCUGCUUUACUUACCUCCGAUAAGAAUGUUUGUGCUGCUUUCGAUGCUCCUACGUGUAAUAAAUAUUCAUAUACAUAAAGUGCAAUUCUGUGAGAGGGGAGAAAGAAAACGGAAAAGAAUUAGUCAAACAUCGAACGGUUGGAGAGAAAUCGGCCGCUUAACUGUCGGUAAAGUAAGAUUUUCACGCAUUUCGCGUCAAGUCUCUGGAUGAGGAAGGAAGAGGUGCAGCACCACCGCCACCACCACACCUUCUCGAUCGGACAUUAUCGAUGGACGCGCUUUGGUGCCUGCCUGCCUGCGGAGCAUCACCAUCCAGACACAAUCAUCGUACUUCAGGGGAAGGUGGGAUGAUCAUCAAUCCCUUUUCCAGCUCAAAAAAUCCCAAUUAAAGGAGAAACACCCAUCACACGUUGGCAGAGAAGGAGCCGCAUCAACCCGCAUCCGGAGCAACAGAGUACACUAACCAUGGAACGAUGGCUUCCUUCGCCGGAACGAUUUACUGUCAUCGUCUUCUUUGGACAGCACAUCUCGAAGGACAAUCGCUAAGACAAGCGCUCGUGUACAGGAACAAAAAACACUCUUUUGAAAUGAGCGUGAUGAUCGA